UUCCCCCAUUCUCCCCCCACCCCCCACCCCACCUGUUUGACGCACCGACGAAGCGGCCAUGAUCCAGCUGCUGUUCACGCUGUUGGCCGCCGAGGCAGCGCUGGUGCUCGUGCUGCUCUUCCGCACGCCCGCUCGACGCCUCGCGCUGCUUGCCGUGGACUGCAGCAAGCGCGGCCCCGCGGGCCCGUAAUGGCCAGGACCGUCGCGGCCACCAUGUUCGUCGUGCUCGGCUCCAGCGGGUACAGCAUCGCCAAGAUCCGGCGCCGCGAAGGCGAGUUCGCCCAGCUCACACCCACAGACCAGGUGCUCGCCAGCCGCCACCUCCUCGAGGCCUCGCUCAUGGGAUACUCUCUGUUCCUUGGGCUAAUUAUUGAUCGACUGCAUCACUAUAUCAGGCAAUUACGGGCGAUGAAGAAAAACAUGGAGGCUGUGACAAAGCAGAGCAGGGUCUUGGAAGAAACAAAACUCGGAGACUCUGAGGAAAUUCAAGGAUAUCAGAAAAAGAUUGACAGUUUGAAUGAGCAGGUGCAAGUACUCAAACACCAGUCAGAAUCUCAAACACAGGAGCUAAAAACUGCUGAAAUGAAUAAUUUGGCUUUACAGAAACAAUCUGAAGGUUUGCUUACUGAGUAUGAGCGUCUAAUUGCGGAGAAUGAGGAAUUGAGGAAUAAGCUGCAAACAAUGGAACUCCGCUUCUCCCGUUCUGACAGCAAGAAAAAUACAUAGUGACGUGUACGUUUUACCUGUUGAACCUCGGCUACUGUAAAUUUUUGUCCUAUAAUAUUAUUUUGUGCAUACUUAUAGACGUACUCUCAUCGUCAGAUCCAAAGAACAUAACUAUAUCUGUUGGGCGUAUUGUUUUGAGUCGAAACGGGUUGUUAAUCAUGUAAUCCUAGUCAUUUACUCGAUGAGCAGAAAAUGUACCAUAUACGAAUGUCUUUUUUGAUAUUUGCUGCCAGUCCAUCAA